rnacentral:rRNA from 1 species
UACGAAGGGGGCUAGCGGUGUUCGGAAUUACUGGGCGUAAAGCGCACGUAGGCGGCUCUGUAAGUUGGGGGUGAAAUCCCGAGGCUCAACCUCGGAAUUGCCUUCAAGACUGCAGGGCUUGAGUUCGGGAGAGGUGAGUGGAAUUCCCAGUGUAGAGGUGAUAUUCGUAGAGAUUGGGAAGAACUCCAGUGGCGAAGGCGGAUCACUGGCCCGUAACUGACGCUGAGGUGCGAAAGCGUGGGGAGCAAACAGG